CAGGGCCACACUCUCAGCAUAUGGAGGUUCCCAGGCUAGGGGUCGAUUCGGAAUUGUAGCUGCUAGCCUACACCACGGCCACAGCAACAUUAGAUCCAAGCCAUGUCUAUGACCUACACCACGGGUCAUGGCAAUGCCAGAUCCUUAACCCACUGAGCAAGGCCAGGGAUUGAACCUGCAUCUUCAUGGAUGCUAGUCAGAUGCAUUUCCACUGAGCCACCAUGGGAACUCCCAUUCAAGUUUCUUGAGAGUGUUUCCAUGUUCUGCAUGUCGAAUGUGACUGUGCAGGUAUUUGGGAUCGUAGUGGGGAACAGCCCCCCCAGCAGAGUCUAUUCAUUCACUAUGUAGUUUACUUCAUUCUCCAGUUUUUACCCCAUAUGUCCGCUCUGUUUUCUUCUGUCUCUGUGUUCUAUAUGGAUUAUCUCCAUCGAAGAACCUCCAAGAAUCUUCGAGAUGAUUCAGCACCUGCCCUUACCCAGCAUUUCCUAACUGAUGUUGUAAAAGGCUGGUACCAGAGACUGGCUGUGAGUGAGUUUUUCUCCUCCCCAUCCAAAGUCCACCGCCCUCUGACAUCGCCAAACCUACUGUGGUCUCUGAUGCUGUUUUUGUUGCUCUAGAGAUGCCUGAGUUUUUGCACAAGCCAAGGUCAAGUAGCCCUGCAUGUCUAAAAGGGUAGAUGUUAACUCUUAAAAGCCAGAAAUUUGGGCACAAAUUUUAGAGCAGUUUUCAAGCACGGGUUAAAAAUAUAUUGGAAGCUGAACAUGUCUGGGGUGAGAAGUUGGGGAGGAUUCAUGUGGCAAAGAGGAGAGUUGCAUCAGGACUGCGUGGUGUUUCACACUUGUAAAGUUUUCUCCCUCUGCCUUUCCUGGAGACCUGAUUGUAGCAGCAGUGAAGGCAGAAUGAAGAGGUGGUAGCAGAGAGAGGCAGAGCACUUGGUAUAAGGGAGGCCUAUUUUUAGGUAUAAAACCUUGUCUUUCCAAUAAUAGAUUGAGGAAGCUCUGGCUUGGCAAUAUGUCUCAGCGUUUCUGUUGACACUUUGGAAUAUGGCUGUCAUGAAGUGAGUGUAAAGUUAGGACCUGCUUUGGAGUUCCCGUCAUGGCUCAGUGGUUAAGGAACCCAAAUAGGAUCCAUGAGGAUGUGGGUUCAAUCCCUGGCCUCACUCAGUGGAUUAAGGAUCUAAUGUUGCGGUGAGCUGUGGUAUAGUUUGCAGACGAGGCUCGGAUCUGGCGUUGCUGUGGCUGUGGCAUUCUCUGGCAGCUCCAGCUCCGAUUUGACCCCUAGCCUGGGAAGCUCCAUAUGCUGCAGGUACAACCCCCAAAAGACAAAAGACAAAAAAAAAAAAAAAAAGUUAGGACCUGCCUCAAGUCAUAAGGAAGCAAGCCUGGAGUUAUUCGACUUGUAUGCAUGGUAGUCCAUUCUGUUCUGGGUACCACAUUUUGUAAUACAUGCUGUAAACCUUAGGCAUUGAAAAACUUUCAUCAAAAUGAAAUGAAUUACACUUCCACCAGCAAUAUAUGCAUUCCUGUUUGCCAAGACUCUCACCCAGUUCUUGCUGUGAUCUGAUUUUAAUUUCUGCUACUCCAAUGGGUAUAAAAAUGACAUCUUGUGGUUGUUACUGUUUGAAGUAAAAGCAUAUUUGAAACAUACUAUUUCUAUUCUUUUCAUGAACAUUUAACCUAAACAUUUAAAAUUAAUCAGUAGAGUUCCUGUUGUGGCUCAGGGGGUUAAGAACCUGACUAGUGUCCAUGAGGAUGCGGGUUCAAUCCCUGGCCCUCACUCAGUAGGUUAAGGAUCCUACGUUGCCCUGAAUGGUGGUGUAGGUUGCCGACAUGGCUCAGAUCUGGCAUUGCUGUGGCUGCGGCAUAGGCCUGCAGCUGCAGUUCCAAUUUCACCCCUAGCCUGGGAACUUCAAUAUGCCACAUGUGUGGUCCUAAAAAAAAAAAAAAAAAAAAAAAAAAAAAANGAAAAUUAAUCAGUAUUUUUACUCUCCUCCUGAACAACCAAAGAACCUCUGUCUGACUUAAUUCUGAGCAGCUCUCCCAUUUUCAUGACACUUUUUGUGCUUUUUUUUGUUGUAGAGUUGAUCCUCAUUAUUUGCAGAUAGCUCAUUUGUGAAUUUAUCUACACAUUAAAAUUUUCUUGUAACCUUAAAUUAAUACUCACAGCACUUUCAUAAUAAUUCUUGAACUUGUAUGAAAUAGCAAAAAAUUGAGGUUAGGAACCCCUGAUCUGGACACGAGUCCACUCAGAAAAGUGCUAAAGUAACAUCUGUACUGAAGGGUGGAGCUAUGGAAAAGGUGGAAGAGCAGCUAAGUUUCUGGAUUCAUGAGCUGGGGCUUGAUAAAAAGGCAUAGUGGACAUCAUUGUUAUGAAGCUGGAAACCACAAAGGUUUAUGAUUGCAACACCCAGGGUCAGGAUAUUGUGAAACCCCUCUCAGCUAGUGCUGGCAGACUUACAUCUGGCAAAAAGCUCUAAGAUGGAAAGAUGUUCAAGUUACAGUUGAGGCAGGUAUUGCAGACCCAGCUGCCAUGAAGGAAUUUUAAAAAUACGUGCUAAGUGUUACAUAGGAAAAGAGUUAGGUGAGGGUCUUCUUCUAAGACUUAAUUGAGCUGUAAUUGUUUUUUACUUUUCAUAAAUCUUUUUUUUCCAUUUUUAAAGCUUUAUUGAAAUAUAGUCAAUUUACACUGUUGUAGCAAUUACUGCUGUACAACAGAGUGAUUCAGUUAUACGUGUAAAUAGAUCCAUUUUUUUUUUCAGAUUCUUUUCCGGCAUAGACCAUCACAGAAUAUGGGGUAGAGUUCGCUGUGUUGUACAACAGGUCUGUGUUUUUCAUAAAUCUAUCUUUUAAGAUAGCUUUGCUGGGUUUACAAUUUUUAUUUUAUUUUGAGAUAUAGUUGUCAUAUAAUAUGUAUAUUUACAGUUUACAAUGUAUUAUUUUGAUAUGUUUAUAUAUUGUAAUAUGAUUACUGUAUUAGAUGACACUUCCUCAUGCCAUGUAAUGACCAUUUUGGACAAUUUUUUUAGUUUUUUUGAAGUAUAGCUGAUUUAUAAUGUGAUAAUUUCUGCUGUACAACAAAGUGAAAUAUCCAUUCUUGGAGUUCCCAUCGUGGCUCAGCAGAAACAAAUCUGACUAGUAACCGUGAGGUUUGAUCCCUGGCCUCACUCCGUGGGUUGAGGAUCCAGCACUGUCAUGAGCUGUGGACACGGCUCAGAGCCUGCGUUGCUGUGGCUGUGGUGUAGGCUGGCAGCUACAGCUCUGAUUCGACCCUUAGCCUGGGAACUUCCAUAUGCCACGGGUGCAGCCCUAAAAAGACAAAAACAAAAAACAAAAAAACCUUUCUUUUUUGUAUUCUUUCCCCAUAUAGGUUAUCAUAGGUUAUGAGUAGAGAUCCCUGUGCUCUACCUCAGGUCCCCAUUGACCAUCCAUUCCAUAUACAGCAGUGUGCAUAUGCUGAUCCCCAAAACCCAGGUCCAUCUCUCCCAAACCCCACCUUUUCCCUUUGGUAACCAUAAUUUUGUUUUCAAAGUCUGUGAGUUUGUUUCUGUUUUGUAAAUAAGUUAAUUUGUAUGAUUUUUUAAGAUUCCAUAUAUAAGAAUGUAAUGAGAUCAUAUGACGUUUCUCCGUCUGACUUGACUUCACUUAGGAUGAUAAUCUCUAGGUUCAUCCAUAUUGCUGCAAAUGGCAUUAUUUCAUUCUUUUUUAUGGCAAGUAAUAUUCUGUUGUAUAUAUGUACUACAUCUUUAUUAUUCCUCUGUUGAUGAACAUUUAUGUUGAUUCCAUGUCUUGGCUAUUGUAAAUAAUGCUGCAUUGAAUAUUGGGAUGCAUGUAUCUUUGGGAAUUAUAAUUUUCUCUGAAUAGAUGCCCAGGAGUGGGAUUGCUGGGUCAUAUGCUAGUUCUAUUUUUAGUUUUUGAGGGACUUCUAUACUGUUUUCCAUAGUGAUUAUACCAAUUUGCAUUCCCGCAGUGUAGGAGGGUUUGCUUUUCUUUGUGCCUGCUCUAGCACUUAUUGUUUGUGAACUUUUUGACCAUCAACUUUUUGCCUUUCUGACAGGAAGUGGUACCUUGUUGUAGUAUAAUUAGUAAUGUUGAACAUCUUUCCGUGUGCUUUUUGGCCAUCUGUCUGUCUUUUUGGAGAAAUAUUUAUUUAGAUCAUCUGCCCAUUUUUUGAUUGGUUUGUUUGUUUUCAUUUUAUUGCUAUACCAGCAGCAUAUGGAAGUUCCCAGGCUAGGGGUUGAAUCAGAGCUGCAGCUGAGGCCUAUGCAAUAGUCAUGGCAACACCUGAUUCUGAGCCACCUCUGCAAACUACACUGCAGCUUCCAGAAACACUGGAUCCUUAACCCAGUAAGCAAGGCCAAGGGUCGAAUCCUCAUGGAGAUAACAUUGGGUUCUUAACCCAUGGAGCCACAAUGGGAACUCCUGUUUGUUUGUUUUUUUAAUAUUGAGCUGCAUGAGCUGUUUUUUUAUAUUUUGCAGAUUAAUCCCUUGUCAGUCUCCUCAUUUGUAAAUAUUUUCUCCCCCUCUGUGUUGUCUUUUCAUUUUGCUUGUGGUUUCCUUUGCUGUUCAAAAGCUUUUAAGUUUAAUUAGGUCCAAUUUGUUUAUUUUUGUUUUUAUUUCCUUUACUUUGGGAGGUGGAUCCCAAAAGAUAUUUCUCUGAUGUCAGAGAGUGUUUUGCCUAUGUUUUACUCUAAGAUUUUUAUAGUUUACAGUCUUUCAUUUGGGUCUUUAACCCAUUUUGAAUUUAUUUUUGUGUAUGGUGUUAGGGAAUUUCUAAUUUCAUUUUUUUACAUGUAGCUGUCUAAUUUUCCCGGUACCACUUGUUGAAGAGACUAUCUUUUCUCCACUGUAUAUUCUUGUCUCCUUUGUCAUACAUUAAUUGACCAUACAUGCAUGGGUUUAUUUCUGGGCUUAUUAUCUUUUUCCAUCAAUCUAUAUUUCUGCUUUUGGUCUAGUACCAUACUGUUUAGAUGACUAUAGCUUUGUAAUAUAGUCUGAGGUCAGGGAUCCUGAUUCCUCCAAUUACAUUUUUCUCGAGCUUGCUUUGGCUACUUGGAGUCUUUUGUUUUCAAUUACAAAUUUAAAUUUUAUUUCUUCUGGUUCUGUGAAAAAUGCCAUUGGUAAUUUGAUAGGGAUUGUAUUGAAUCUGUAGAUUAUUUUGGACAGUACAGUCAUUUUGACAAUAUUAACUCUUCCAGUCCAAGAGCAUGGUAUAUCUUUCUAUCUGUGUCUUUGACAAUUUUAGAUUUUUCAGUUCUUGGUUAUCUGAAGGUAAUCUGGCCUUUUCUUCUGGCUAUAUUAUGAUAUUUACCUAAAAAUGAACUCAAUGGCAUAUUUUAUUAAUCUUACUUGAGAUUCAUUGUGUUUCCUUAAUCUCAGGACUGAUAGGUUUUAUCAAUUUUGGAACUUCUCUGACACUCACUGUCUUUUCAAACACUGCUCUUUCCCUUUUCUAUUAACUCCUUCUGGAAUUCUGAUUAUUUUUAUUCUAGACUUUAUUCUAUCUGCAAGAUCUUAACCCUCAUAUUUGUCUUCCUGUGGGCUACUACUUCAUAUUAAUUUUCCAAGUUAAUGGAUCUCCUUAUAAUUGUGUCUAAUCUGCUGUUUCACAAGUUUUGUCCUCUGAAAACAGAUGCUUGGACUGAGUUGGGGUAUGAGCUGAUUAUUAGGGAUCAAAACAUGUGAAAGGAAAGAAGAAAGACUGAGCGGAGGAGAAAAAUAAACUUCAGUGGGGUCCAAAAAAAUCCUUUGCUAAUCCAGCAGAGAGUUUGGAAGUGAUUAUUUCCCAUCAGAGUUCUUCUGCAUUGGAUUGGAACCAUCAGGAUCUUUGUACCCUUCAUUUCUCAGUCACUGGAUACAGGCUACUCCAGUGACCUUGGGAAAGGCAGCUUUUGGCAUCUGAGGCAAACCCUGAAGAAGGUGACGUCUGGAAGCUGUCUGGUGACCAUACUUUUUAUAGUUGAAUAAUUCCUUUCUUGAACAGGAAUCUUGAUGACCUUUGACUCUAUCAUAUGUUUCUUAAUCUGUCUACAACUUUUCUUUUUUUUUUAAAUUUCUACACUCAUCUUAGUUAUUUUAUUUUUUAUUUUUUUAAAUGUAUUGAAGUUGAAUUGAUUUACAGUGUGUUAAUUUCUGCUGUUCAGCAAAGUGAUUCAGUUGUGUGUGUGUGUAUACAUUCUUUUCCAUAAUGGUUUAUCACAGGAUAUU
rnacentral:lncRNA from 1 species